GACGAACGCUGGCGGCGUGCCUAAUACAUGCCAGUAGAACGCUGAAGAGAGGAGCUUACUCUUCUUGGAUGAGUUGCGAACGGGUGAGUAACGCGUAGGUAACCUGCCUUGUAGCGGGGGAUAACUAUUGGAAACGAUAGCUAAUACCGCAUAACAAUGGAUGACACAUGUCAUUUAUUUGAAAGGGGCAAUUGCUCCACUACAAGAUGGACCUGCGUUGUAUUAGCUAGUAGGUGAGGUAAUGGCUCACCUAGGCGACGAUACAUAGCCGACCUGAGAGGGUGAUCGGCCACACUGGGACUGAGACACGGCCCAGACUCCUACGGGAGGCAGCAGUAGGGAAUCUUCGGCAAUGGGGGCAACCCUGACCGAGCAACGCCGCGUGAGUGAAGAAGGGUUUCGGAUCGUAAAGCUCGGUUGUAAGUCAAGAACGGGUGUGAGAGUGGAAAGUUCACACUGUGACGGUAGCUUACCAGAAAGGGACGGCUAACUACGUG
rnacentral:rRNA from 1 species